rnacentral:rRNA from 1 species
ACUGCAUUACUCGUGAUUGAAACACAAGCUGGAGACGUAUCGGCCUAUAUCCCCACCAAUGUGAUCUCCAUUACAGAUGGACAAAUUUGUUUGGAAACAGAGCUCUUUUCUCGCGGAAUUAGACCAGCUAUUAACGUUGGCUUAUCCAUCAGUCGCAUCGCGUCUGCCACUCAGUUGAAAGCUAUGAAACAAGUCUGUGGUAGUUCAAAACUGGCAUUGGCACAAUAUCACGAAGUGGCCGCCUUCGCUCAAUUUGGGUCAGACCUUGAUGCUGCGACUCAGGCAUUACUCAAUAGAGGUGCAAGGCUUACAUAAAUUCCCAAACAACCACAAUAUGAACCACUUGCAAUUGAAUAACAAAUUGUUAUGAUUUAUGCUGCUGUCAACGGCUUCUGUGAUCGAAUGCCACUAGACAGAAUUUCUCAAUAUGAAAAAUCCAUUCUAAGUACUAUUAAUGUGACGCCCGGGUAA